rfam:Triticum aestivum genome assembly, contig: Triticum_aestivum_CS42_TGACv1_scaffold_274342_3DS
CAAGUACUCCUUCCAUAGAAAAAUACUUGUCAUCAAAAUGGAUAAAAAAGAUGUAUCUAGAACUAAUAUACAUCUAGAUACAUCCCCUUUUAUUCAUUUUGAUGACAAGUAUUUCCGGACGGAGCGAGUACUAC